GAAAUGCGAUAAGUAAUGUGAAUUGCAGAAUUCAGUGAAUCAUCGAAUCUUUGAAAGCACAUUGCGCCCGCCAGUAUUCUGGCGGGCAUGCCUGUUCGAGCGUCAUUUCAACCAUCAAGCCCCGCGCUUGUGUUGGGGACCUGCGGCUGCCGCAGGCCCUGAAAACCAGUGGCGGGCUCGCUGUCACACCGGGCGUAGUAGAUUUUAUCUCGCUCAGGGCGUGCUGCGGGUUCCGGCCGUUAAAAAGCCUUUUUUACCCAAGGUUGACCUCGGAUCAGGUAGGAAGACCCGCUGAACUUAAGC
rnacentral:misc_RNA from 1 species